GUUCCACUUAGCUAUGGAAGGUCUGAAUUAGGAGGCCAGCUCCUUGGUGGGCAGCAGCCUGCAGUUCCUGGUCCCUAUGUGGCUGAGGCAGAUGUAGUGCAUCUUGAGAGACUCUGUGGCACAGUGGGAUCAGGUGCUCAAGCAAGCUGAGCCAGCGCUGCAUUUGCACACCUCUUGAGUAACUUCAGUAUGGCCUGAAUAUUCAGAGGGACAAAAAAAAUAUCCUCCUUCACAUAGAAAUUUGUUUAAGAGGAGUCCGCUUCUAAUUCCCUGGAUCACGUGUGCUGGUACAAGGAACCUAGAGCAUCUGCUCAGCAAGUGGUGGAGCAAGUGUUAACAGUCACCUGCAGUGAGACCUCAGCUGCACCCACUGAUUGCUGAGAUUUUUCAGCCCGGCAGCCUCAGAGACUUGGGAAUUGUUUUCCUGCUCUAAGGAGGAACUCUUCAGGGAGAAACUUAGCCAUCGAAGCAUUCUUCCUAGAAAGAUCAUUGCAAGCUAGAACUGUGUGUGUGCAUCCUAUCAGCUGUGAGCAGCCAUGUACAGCAGGUAAAGGAAAGGUGUACAGUGCCAGCCAGGACUCAACUCCAGAGAAGCAGAACGCAAGUGGUGAUCGCCCCAGGACAGUGUUGAACAAGAAGGAAAACACAUGGACAUGAACCAAAGUCAGAAAAAACAAACUAGCUGAAUCCAUGUCCCUGUGUUCUGUUGGAUCUCAUGACUUCCUGUAAUCUGUGAGAAGAGGGAGCUGCUGAACUUUACUUGAAUUAUUUUCAGGGUUUUAUGCUCACAGUCCUACAAAAAAAUCUGUCUCUAUUACCUCGCUGCUGCACAGAGGCUCUUCCAUUGUGCAGCAGAUGUUGGUAUGUUGGUUAGUGAUCAGCUAGGUUAAAGGAUUGAUACUGAGUAGAAUUAAACAUGAAAAACAAUGCCUGUAAGUAAAAAGGCUGUAAGUUACCAGCUGGUGUUGUGCAGUUAAAAAUACCAAUAAUUGUCAUUGUUCUCUGGUCACACAUUCAUGGCUUGUUCCUUUUAUCAUUAUUAUGAAAGGAAAGUUGUAACUACUUGAUGAUAACCACUGCACAGUUUAAGGAGUUGGCACAUCAUUAGAUAUGGGAGGGUUAAGCCUGUUUACGUUUCCUUAUACAUAAGCACAAAUCAUACCAUGAUGCCAUUCCAUUUGCUGAACUCCACCUUUAAGCAAUCUGUCCAUAAUUGCAACAGAAAAUGUCCAGAGCAAUUUGCCAGGCACCUAUCUGGGACAGCAGCAGUGCUGAAUUAAAUAUGAUCAUUGUGCUCUGAGCACCAAUAAUAAGUAGAGAUUGGAGUGUUCUUGCUUUUAAAGCAAAAUAUAAUAGUUUCUGGAAUCUGUGUGUUUGAAAUAAACUUCUGAGUGCUUUAACUGACUGUAAUUUA
rnacentral:lncRNA from 1 species